rnacentral:rRNA from 1 species
GAUUCCGGAGAGGGAGCCUGAGAAACGGCUACCACUUCUAAGGAAGGCAGCAGGCGCGUAAAUUACCCAAUCCCAAUUCGGGGAGGUAGUGACAAGAAAUAACAACCUGGGGGGCUCUGCCCUUACGGGAUUGUAAUGGGAACAAUGUAAAAACUUUAUCGAGGAACAAUUGGAGGGCAAGUCUGGUGCCAGCAGCCGCGGUAAUUCCAGCUCCAAUAGCGUAUAUUAAAGUUGUUGCAGUUAAAAAGCUCGUAGUUGAAUUUCUGCACGUGCCCGGUUGUGGCUUCGGUCAGGCCGUGGCGCGUGCAUCCGUCUGCAAACCUAGACCGGCCUUCAUUGGUCGACUAGGGGAGUAGACCUUUUACCUUGAAAAAAUUAGAGUGUUUCUAGCAGGCAAUUGCUUGAAUACAUUAGCAUGGAAUAAUAGAAUAGGACUUUUGUCCAUUUCGUUGGUUAUUGGACAUUAGUAAUGAUUAAAAGGGACAGUUGGGGGCAUUAGUAUUUAAUUGUCAGAGGUGAAAUUCUUGGAUUUAUUAAAGACUAACUUAUGCGAAAGCAUUUGCCAAGGAUGUUUUCA